rnacentral:rRNA from 1 species
GUCUGCAGCCAUGCCACCCUGAACACGCCCGAUCCUAUCUGAUCUUGGAAACUAAGCAGGGUCGGGCCUGGUUAGUACUUGGAUGGGAGACCACCUAGGAAGACCAGGUGCUCUAGGCA